UACGUAGGGUGCAAGCGUUAAUCGGAAUUACUGGGCGUAAAGCGUGCGCAGGCGGUUAUAUAAGUCAGAUGUGAAAUCCCCGGGCUCAACCUGGGAACUGCAUUUGAGACUGUAUAGCUAGAGUACGGCAGAGGGGGAUGGAAUUCCGCGUGUAGCAGUGAAAUGCGUAGAUAUGCGGAGGAACACCGAUGGCGAAGGCAAUCCCCUGGGCCUGUACUGACGCUCAUGCACGAAAGCGUGGGGAGCAAACAGG
rnacentral:rRNA from 1 species